AAAUUGAAGAGUUUGAUCAUGGCUCAGAUUGAACGCUGGCGGCAGGCCUAACACAUGCAAGUCGAACGGUAGCAC
rnacentral:rRNA from 4 species